rnacentral:SRP_RNA from 1 species
UCGUGCUAGAUGGGGAGAUGGCGAUUCCCUGUACCCGUGAACUCGCCAACCGGGGUUGAAUUCCCCUUCGCGGCCCAAUUCUUUGGAACUGACCCUGUAAAGUGAUGUUGAUGGUCGGGUCCUACACGGCGAGAAACUGCGAACUCCGCCAGGGCCGGAAGGCAGCAACGGUAAGUAGACCUUCUUGGGUGUUGUGGGGCAGCCUGAUCGGAGUCGGCUAGCGGACGUUAAGCCGGAGGGUUGCGGUCAACAAAGGGGUGCACG